UGAAGGUUUGCGAAGAAAGGUUGAAAUUCAGGGAAGAAUGGUAAGGAAGGUAUGCGACUUCUUUUCUUCCUCAAAUCAAAUUGCAUUUCGUUUUAAGAUGGGUCAUAGAAUUAAAGACAUUAGAGAGAGGAUAGAUGAAGUUGCCAAAGAAAUGUCUGGCUUUGGCUUUAUAAUUAGGAAGGAAGUUGGAGUAGAUAUGCGAGUUAAGAAUAGUUGGAGGGAGACGGACUCCUUUGUACAGGAAUCAGAAAUUAUAGGAAGAGAUGGAGAUAAAGAAAAAAUCGUGGAAUCAUUGCUGUGUCUUGACAAUGGAGAGGAUGUUUCUGUAGUCGCAAUAGUUGGGUUUGGUGGCUUAGGAAAGACUGCCCUUGCCCAAUUAGUGUAUAAUGAUGAGAAAGUGAUGAAUUAUUUUGAUUUGAAAAUGUGGGCAUGUGUUUCUGAGGAGUCAAACAUUGAAAUG
rnacentral:misc_RNA from 1 species